GGUGCUCAACUCCCACCUUCCCUGUCAGAAAUCCCUCCUGGUUUUCCUGUUGGCUCCACAGCACAUCUUGCAACUCAGGACUAUUAAAGAAGACCUCCUGAAAGUUUUGAUUUUGUACUGUGCAACCUUCUAAAUCAUGUGAAAACUGCCUUGGAUUUGACCUUGGUUUGACCUCUAGAUUCUCUGCUCUUUAGCUGUAAAUGAAGUGAUGCUCAGCUAGAGGAUUCUGCAGAAGCAGUGGAUCCCAUCCAGGUAUGCAAACUCCUGCCUUGUCCUAAGCACCAGAGCUGCAUGACCCAGUAUCCAGUAUAUGACCCAUGUUUCUCCAUCCCUUUCUGAAAUCCUGCCACCCCUAUGGGUUUGCAGUUUGCCAGCUGCACCUGCUUCUGGUCAUGGGUACAGAUGUGGGUUCUGGGAGGAGAUUUCCUGGUGGGACACUUCAUGGGGUGGGGAAGAAGGCAGGGUUUAAAGCAUCUGUCUGCUUUCAAGGAAGUUAUGGUGUUUUCCCCAAAGUGCACUCCAAGCCACAGACACAAGCUGUCACCUUUGCUAUGACUUCUGCUAUUCUC